rnacentral:rRNA from 1 species
GCGCAGGAAUCUACCUAGUAGUGGGGGAUAACAUGGAGAAAUCCAUGCUAAUACCGCAUACGACCUGAGGGAGAAAGUGGGGGAUCUUCGGACCUCACGCUAUUAGAUGAGCCUGCGUAGGAUUAGCUAGUUGGUGGGGUAAAGGCCUACCAAGGCGACGAUCCUUAGCUGGUCUGAGAGGAUGAUCAGCCACACUGGAACUGAGACACGGUCCAGACUCCUACGGGAGGCAGCAGUGGGGAAUAUUGCACAAUGGGCGCAAGCCUGAUGCAGCCAUGCCGCGUGUGUGAAGAAGGCUCU